AUUGAACGCUGGCGGCAUGCCUUACACAUGCAAGUCGAACGGUAACGGGCCUUCGGGUGCCGACGAGUGGCGAAUGGGUGAGUAAUACAUCGGAACGUGCCCGAUCGUGGGGGAUAACGAGGCGAAAGCUUUGCUAAUACCGCAUACGAUCUACGGAUGAAAGCAGGGGACCGCAAGGCCUUGCGCGGACGGAGCGGCCGAUGGCAGAUUAGGUAGUUGGUGGGAUAAAAGCUUACCAAGCCGACGAUCUGUAGCUGGUCUGAGAGGAUGAUCAGCCACACUGGGACUGAGACACGGCCCAGACUCCUACGGGAGGCAGCAGUGGGGAAUUUUGGACAAUGGGCGCAAGCCUGAUCCAGCCAUGCCGCGUGCAGGAUGAAGGCCUUCGGGUUGUAAACUGCUUUUGUACGGAACGAAAAGCCUUCUUUUAAUACAGGAGGGUCAUGACGGUACCGUAAGAAUAAGCACCGGCUAACUACGUG
rnacentral:rRNA from 1 species